UACGUAGGGGGCUAGCGUUGUCCGGAAUCAUUGGGCGUAAAGCGCGCGUAGGCGGCCCGGUAAGUCCGCUGUGAAAGUCAAAGGCUCAACCUUUGAAUGUCAGCGGAUACUGCCGGGCUAGAGUCCGGAAGAGGCGAGUGGAACUCCUGGUGUAGCGGUGGAAUGCGCAGAUAUCAGGAGGAACACCGGUGGCGAAGGCGGUUCUCUGGGCAUGUCCUGACGCUGAGGAGCGAAAGUGUGGGGAGCGAACAGG
rnacentral:rRNA from 1 species